GACGAACGCUGGCGGCGUGCCUAAUACAUGCAAGUAGAACGCACAGUUUAUACCGUAGCUUGCUACACCAUAGACUGUGAGUUGCGAACGGGUGAGUAACGCGUAGGUAACCUGCCUGGUAGCGGGGGAUAACUAUUGGAAACGAUAGCUAAUACCGCAUAAUAUUAAUUAUUGCAUGAUAAUUAAUUGAAAGGUGCAAUUGCACCACUACCAGAUGGACCUGCGUUGUAUUAGCUAGUAGGUGAGGUAACGGCUCACCUAGGCGACGAUACAUAGCCGACCUGAGAGGGUGAUAGGCCACACUGGGACUGAGACACGGCCCAGACUCCUACGGGAGGCAGCAGUAGGGAAUCUUCGGCAAUGGACGAAAGUCUGACCGAGCAACGCCGCGUGAGUGAAGAAGGUUUUCGGAUCGUAAAGCUCUGUUGUAAGAGAAGAACGGGUGUGAGAGUGGAAAGUUCACACUGUGACGGUAUCUUACCAGAAAGGGACGGCUAACUACGUG
rnacentral:rRNA from 1 species